GACGAACGCUGGCGGCGUGCCUAAUACAUGCAAGUCGAGCGGACAGAUGGGAGCUUGCUCCCUGAUGUUAGCGGCGGACGGGUGAGUAACACGUGGGUAACCUGCCUGUAAGACUGGGAUAACUCCGGGAAACCGGGGCCAAUACCGGAUGGUUGUUUGAACCGCAUGGUUCAGACAUAAAAGGUGGCUUCGGCUACCACUUACAGAUGGACCCGCGGCGCAUUAGCUAGUUGGUGAGGUAACGGCUCACCAAGGCGACGAUGCGUAGCCGACCUGAGAGGGUGAUCGGCCACACUGGGACUGAGACACGGCCCAGACUCCUACGGGAGGCAGCAGUAGGGAAUCUUCCGCAAUGGACGAAAGUCUGACGGAGCAACGCCGCGUGAGUGAUGAAGGUUUUCGGAUCGUAAAGCUCUGUUGUUAGGGAAGAACAAGUGCCGUUCAAAUAGGGCGGCACCUUGACGGUACCUAACCAGAAAGCCACGGCUAACUACGUGCCAGCAGCCGCCGUAACAC
rnacentral:rRNA from 1 species